GACGAACGCUGGCGGCGUGCUUAACACAUGCAAGUCGAACGGAAAGGCCCUGCUUGCAGGGUCCUCGAGUGGCGAACGGGUGAGUAACACGUGGGUGAUCUGCCCUGCACUUCGGGAUAAGCCUGGGAAACUGGGUCUAAUACCGGAUAGGAGCCAUUUUUAGUGUGAUGGUUGGAAAGUUUUUUCGGUGUAGGAUGAGCUCGCGGCCUAUCAGCUUGUUGGUGGGGUAAUGGCCUACCAAGGCGGCGACGGGUAGCCGGCCUGAGAGGGUGGACGGCCACAUUGGGACUGAGAUACGGCCCAGACUCCUACGGGAGGCAGCAGUGGGGAAUAUUGCACAAUGGGCGCAAGCCUGAUGCAGCGACGCCGCGUGGGGGAUGACGGCCUUCGGGAUGUAAACUCCUUUCGCUAGGGACGAAGCUUUUUGUGACGGUACCUAGAUAAGAAGCACCGGCUAACUACGUG
rnacentral:rRNA from 1 species